UCUGGCAGGCAUUUUAUACACAUUUUUCUCAUUUUGUCCUUACAGUACAUGGAUGUGCUAGGCCGCCAUUCUCAGAUGAGGAAACAGGCUCAGAUCAAGUGAAUUAUCCAAGCCUUACAAUCAGAAUCCAUAGUGUUCUCCCGUACAUCACACAUGGCUGGUUCAUUAGCAUGCAUAGCAUCAAGAAGAGGGAAGGGAAGUCCUACUUCAAGCAUGCAGGAUUCCAGGGACCAUGCUGGACACCUGCACAUCAUCUCCGUCAAUGAUCAUAAUCCUGUGUGGGCGACAGAGACAGAUCAGGACUGAAAAUCAUAUGCUUAUGAAGAUGAGUGAACCACGUCACAUUCAGGUCCUGGCCUGAACUGUAUCCCUCCCCCAUUCAUAUGUUCCCAUGCUUCAG